rnacentral:rRNA from 1 species
AUUGAACGCUGGCGGCAGGCCUAACACAUGCAAGUCGAACGAGUGGCGGACGGGUGAGUAAUGUCUGUGAAACUGCCUGAUGGAGGGGGAUAACUACUGGAAACGGUAGCUAAUCCCGCAUACCAUCAGAUUGGCCCCGCUGGGAUGAGCUUGUUGGUGGGGUAACGGCUCACCAAGGCGCCUAUCCCUAGCUGGUCUGAGAGGAUGACCAGCCACACUGGAACUGAGACACGGUCCAGACUCCUACGGGAGGAAGCAGUGGGGAAGAGUGCGCAAUGGGAGCAAGCCUGAUGGAGCGAUGCCGCGUGUAUGAAGAAGGCCUUCGGGUUGUAAAGUACUUUCAGCGGGGAGGCGUUACCCGCAGAAGAAGCACCGGCUAACUCCGUGCCAGCAGCCGCGGUAAUUC